UAAUACCACAUGAUAUCGAGAGAUCAGAAGCAGGGGACCGCAAGGCCUUGCGCUCUGGGGUGAGCCUACGUCGGAUUAGCUAGUUGGUGGGGUAAGAGCCUACCAAGGCGACGAUCCGUAGCUGGUCUGAGAGGAUGACCAGCCACACUGGGACUGAGACACGGCCCAGACUCCUACGGGAGGCAGCAGUGGGGAAUCUUGGACAAUGGGGGAAACCCUGAUCCAGCGAUACCGCGUGUGUGAAGAAGGCCUUCGGGUUGUAAAGCACUUUAGGUGGGGAAGAAAGGUAAUGAGCGAAUAACUCAUUGCUGUGACGGUACCCGCAGAAUAAGCACCGGCUAACUCUGUGCCAGCAGCCGCGGUAAUACAGAGGGUGCAAGCGUUAAUCAAAAUGACUGGGCGUAAAGGGCGUGUAGGUGGUUGACUAGGUUUGAUGUGAAAUCCCCGGGCUUAACCUGGGAAUUGCGUCGAAAACGGGUCGACUCGAGUGAGAUAGAGGG
rnacentral:rRNA from 1 species